UACAGAGGUCUCAAGCGUUGUUCGGAUUCAUUGGGCGUAAAGGGUGCGUAGGUGGCGCUGUAAGUCGGGUGUGAAAUUUCGGAGCUUAACUCCGAAACUGCAUUCGAUACUGCGGUGCUUGAGGACUGGAGAGGAGACUGGAAUUCAUGGUGUAGCAGUGAAAUGCGUAGAUAUCAAGAGGAACACCAGUGGCGAAGGCGAGUCCCUGGACAAAUCCUGACACUGAGGCACGAAAGCUAGGGGAGCAAACAGG
rnacentral:rRNA from 1 species